UUUACCCUUUUGACAUAUAGAACCCUUCUUCCCACUCAAUUUCUGAUACUGCCACUUCUAUUAAUCUAUAUUCCUCCUACCUACAACCUUGUCUCUGUGUGUUUUGUAUCUUUGAGUUUUAUAGUUUCCAAAUAUGAGUGAUCCCAAUUACGCUUAUCCUUACCCUGCUCAAGGUUAUUAUCAACGUCCCCCAGUGAUGGCACCACCACAGUAUGCUGCUCCACCUCCAAGGAGAGAACCUGGUUUCCUUGAGGGCUGUCUUGCGGCUUUGUGUUGCUGCUGUCUAAUUGAUGAGUGCUGCUGUGAUCCUUCCAUCAUCUUUGUGAGCUGAUCAUCUCUCUAAUGCACCCCCAUGGAGAAAAUAUUUUAAUAAUUUAUAAAUAUCAGUGGUGUUUAUUUUAUUUUGUGGUUUGGGCUUCUGGUAUGUUCUUGAAGAUGUUGAUGUGUCUUUAUCCCUGUAAUUCUCUAUUUAGUCUUUGACAAUUUUUUCUUCAUUUAAAUAUGAGUGUUUUCUAAAAA